UAAGUGUGCACACUUGAUAGCUGUUGAGGAGAGCGCGCUAAAUUCAUGUGUGUGUAAAUGUGUUCUUUUCUUCACAGGCUGUCUGGUUAAGAAAGAUCCCAUGUAAAGAAGGAACCUAAUUGCAAUAUGUCUGUCACAGUCAGCUGAUCAAUUAUAUUUGUAUUUGCUCUACAGUUCUAAAACAGUAUAAAGGUUCUCUGUAGACCAUUCUCUCCUUCUCCUCCUCCAAAUAUUUAUAUACUGCUUUUUGACAAAAGUUCUCAAAGCAGUUUCCAUAAAAGAUAAAUAUAAAUAAGAUGGUUCCCUAUCCCAAAAGGCCUCACAGUCUAAAAAGAAACAUAAGGUAAACACCAAUGAUAAGCUUUUAAAGGAUGCUGUGCUGGGUUGGAUAGGGAUGGUUGCUUUCCCUAAUAUAAGAAAAUUGCCACUGAAAAGGUGCCCUUUGCUCAGUUACUUAUUUCUAGCCUUAUCUUCACAAUUUGUGUUUGAAUUACACAAGCACAUGGUUAGUACAACUGGAAAUUCUCUGCAUUCCAUGUCCAUUGUAAACCUAUCACAUUGUGUGAAGUUCAGUGUCUGUACCUUGACUGAGGUGGCUUUACACUGAUCAAUAACUUAUUUAAAUGGUUGUAUAUGUCUUUCUCACCACAACACUAUCUCACAAACAAAACAAACCACAACUGAAGGAAGGCAGGCACCCAAGUUCCGCCUUUGUCAAUCUGAGAUCCAGUAAAACCAAAUAAUUUUAGCAGCAAUGGCACAGCAUAUUAUACUCGGUGCUGAGAAAACCACAAAAUCACAAUUCCUCCUCCUCUCCUGUUGUCUUCUCUUCAAGAGAGGCACACUAUAAGGGCUCUCUCUGCCUCGUAGUCCCUUUGAAUACACUUGGAAACUCCCUCCUUUUGUGUUCUCUCCUCCCUCCACCAAGCCAGUGGGGGCAAAGUUGCACAGGAAAACACUUGAUUUGUAUGAGAACAAGCCAACCAAGAAGCAAGGAGAUCACAAGCCAAUCAGAAGCAAGUGCCAGAAAACCAACCAGCAAGGGGAAAGCAGGUCUCCAAAAUGGUGCUCAAAACAUUUGGGGUUGUUUCUUUCUGAGCUUGAAACAGGCCCUUUAUUUAAAGGGAGUUUUGUUCCAAACUUGAAAUGGCCCGUUUUGAGUCAAAAAUUUUUUGACUUUGAGACAUUUUGCACAUCGCUACUAUGUACUUAACCCCUUCAUGUAACUAGUUGUUUGUAAUUGUUUUAUAAGCUUUUACUUUUUUAAAAACAAGUAUCUUUUAUAAACCUCUACAUGUGGUGGAGGUGUGUGUGGCCUUCUAAUGUUAAAACAAAACGAAAAAGACCAGACUUAAAAAAAACACACCAAAAAACUCCUGAAUGAUGAUAACUUCCACAAACUGGAAGGCAGUAUCCCAUAGGAGAGGUCUGGGUUCCUAAAGAAGAGCUAUCAUUAUGAUCCUAUACCAAAGCUUUAUCUAAGCAAAAUGCCUUUUCUGCAAAAUGCUACUAUUUGUCUUCUACCAGCUCUUUCAUCCCCUCACACCAAACUACUAAUCAUGAUAUCAUUUGCUGAAAUAGAUGAAGAUGCAAGACACUACAAAUUGAAGACAAGAUGACAGCCUGUCUUCAAACUAGUUUUAUAAUUCACCCUAUGAAUUUAUCCCAUUUCCCCGUAUUUUCUUGGAUGUAAUCUACAUUCUGGUAUCUGUCAAUAAAACCUGAAUAUAUCGAAUAGUAAAACUAGAUGGGUGUUGGGCACAGCCAAACAAAUUGUUGACAGGUUUGUGCUAGUGAUGAAGUUGACAUUUAGGAAUCCUGGAAGAUAUAAGGUCUGAAUGUUAAGAAUUCUUGCUAUAUAGCAUGUUAAUGUUUUGGAUUGGGAAGAUACAAGGAGUUCAGCUCAAUACUGCUUGAAAUUCUGUUUUUAUUCCACCUUGGAAUGCAUAAAAGUAUUUGUGAAAGUACUACAUUCUCUUGAAAGCUGAUUUCUAAAUCUGAAUAGGCAGUCAUCUUUGAAACAAUGGGCAGGUAACUCAACUUCUCACAAUGAAAAGUUGAGAACAUGUGUGCAUGGCGUGUUAUAGUCACCUGUUGUGGGACUCCUUGUUACAAGACUCUACAUCCAUGACUCCAGAGGAAUAGAUAAAGGAAUUCCAGUAGAAAUUUAAUGAGAUCUAUGAAAAAACAGCAGUGACUAGACAACAGUUAAGCACCUUUAAACAUCUGGCGCAAACAGUUGCGCACAAUGGUGACAGCAGUUAGCAUGCGCCGCCAUGCCUUGCUCCGUUCCACGUCAUUGCAACAGGACAUGAAGGCGAGGGUAGAGAGCCUGGCCUUUGAUGGAAAAGGCCUUUUUCACGAUGAUACAGAUUCUACUAUGGAGUCGUUAAAAAAGUCAAAAUUCACGGCACGUACCUUCAUGACAUCUUCAGGCCCAUCAGGCAGUUCAUCAGAGUCGCUCUUUCUCUCGCCAAAGACCCUUCAAAUAUCAGGGCAGGAGAGAUUUCAAGAGACAGUAUAGACCUAGCCAGCGGUCUAAAGGCUUCCGCCAAAAAUAAAAAAAACAAUACUACCUGUCCGAAUAAAGACAACCCGAAGCAGACCUUUUAAUGGGACUGUCUAUCCACUGCACACACUGACAAUAUCCUUCAACCACGACACUGGCUCCUUACCACCCAUGAAAGCCAGGCAUGCCAGGACCCUUACCAACGGUUCUGUAGUUGCCAGAAAUACCAUCAAACUGGCAAGCCAUGCCCAAGCAUGGCACAAUAUAACAUCAGAUCGCUGGGUGCUAAGGAUAGUUCAGACAGGCUAUGCGCUGGAGUUCAAGACCAAGCCGCCGUUCUCCGGUUUGAUAUUCACAGCAGCCACAGAGAUACUGCAGGAGGAAGUGAAGGUGCUGUUAGAGAAGGUAGCGAUUGCUCAGGUGCAGUGGCUGGACAGGCUGUUGGGUUUUUAUUCCCGGUAUUUUCAGAUUCCAAGGAAUGAUGGUGGAAUCAGGGCAAUAAUGGACCUUUGGGGUCUCAACGAUUAUAUCCAGACCACUAAAUUCAGAAUGACAACUUUCCAAGCUAUUCUUCCCUUCUUAGCCCGGGGAACUUGGGCGGCGACCUUAGAUCUGAAAGAUUCUUACUUUCAUGUAGGCAUCCAGGAAAAUCACCGCAAAUAUCUCCGCUUCACAGUAGGGGAUAAAAUAUACCAAUAUCAGGUUCUACCCUUUGAUCUCUCGACAGCACCAUGGGUAUUCACCAAGGUGGUGGCAGUGGUGGUGGCCUACCUGAGGACACGGGAUGAUGGUCUAUCCGUACUUGGACGACUGGCUCCUGGUGAGCCACGACAGAGAACUGCUUUUCGAACAGAUUCAACACAUGGUCCACCUACUCAAAGAUCUGGGGAUCAAUAUCAAUUGGAAAAAAUCGAACCUUGUCCCCAAGAAACAAAUAAAUUUCAUAGGUGCGGUGUUGGAUUUCGAGAAGAGAGCAUAUUUACCUCAGGAGUGCAUUCAGCAAAUACAUUCGCUCAUUCAGAGGUUUGUGCAAAACCCGCGACAGCCAGCAGUGCAGAUUCAGAAACUGUUGGACCUAAUGGCCUCCUGUGCCACAGCAGUUCUGUACACACAGUUGCGUAUGCGCACAUUGCAGCACUGGUAUCUGUGCAACUUCCGUCCCAAUGUGGACAGCCAAAACAUGUGCUUAGAAAUUCCGCAAGUGGUUUUGAAGGGGUUGCGUUGGUGGAUGGAAACCAACAAUCUGACACAAGGUGUACCAUUCGAAUCACUAGCCCCAAGCCACUGGAUAACGACGGAUGCGUCAUUGAUGGGAUGGGGUGCGCAUUGCAACAGCUAUUGCGUCCAAGGGAGAUGGAUGUGUUUCCAGAUCAGGCAACAUAUCAACUACCUAGAACUAAUGGCGGUGUUCCUAGCUUUGAAGGCAUUCCAGCCACAGUUGCGAGGGUCGGUGAUCCAAAUAACAUUGGACAACACAACGGCAAUCGCCUACAUCAAUCGCCAAGGGGGGAUGGUCUCCAUAUCGUUAUGGCUCCUUGCUCAAAGAAUAUGGAAUUGGUGCGUUCACCAGGUCAUCUCCCCGACUGCACUCCACAUAAGAGGCGUAGGCAAUCACUUGGCUGACAGCCUCAGCAGAAUUAUGGAUUAUAACCAGAGGCACAAGUGGGAGAUAAAAACUUCAUAUCUCCAAAAGAUAUUCAGCACCUGGGGGGUUCCCACGACGGACUUAUUUGCAAUGCAUGCCAACAAAAAGUGUGCAAACUAUUGUUCACAUGCAGGCAUUGGACGGGGGUCCUUGGGGGAUGCCUUCUUUAUCUCUUCCCACCGCUGCCAUUGAUAGGACAGGCGUUGGGGCAGAUUAUUCAGGACAGAGCAAACUGCAUACUACUGACACCAUGGUGGCCACACCAACUGUGGUUUGCACCGCUUCUGCAAUUGUCUCAAGGGACCUAUCUCAGGCUCCCACAGGCGCCAGAUCUGUUGCAAAGAGAACAAGGACAGGUCUUGCACCCAGAAGUUCACGCGUUAAAGAUGACAGCCUGGAGGAUCGCUCAAUGAAGGAUAUCCUACUCAAUAGUAGGAGGCAGUCCACACACAGGAAUUAUGCAAGCAAAUGGAAACGCUUUAGAGCCAAUACGAAGAGUAGAGGAGUUAGGCCUUUACAGGCCACUUCUUGGGAUGUUUUGCUAUACCUAACACCUUGAAUCUAAAGGGCUUCACUAACGUGUCUAUCAAGAUAAUUUGGCGGCCAUUUUGCCGAGGCAUGGGGGUUGGGAUGGGUCAACUGUGUUCUCCCAUCCAGAUUACAAGCGCUUCAUGAAGAGGUUAAAUAAUUUAUAUCCGCCUGUACGGCAACCGAUGGAGCAAUGGAGUUUGUCCUUGGUUUUAUCAGCAUUGACAGAGGGGCCAUUUGAGCCCUUGGCGACGGUACCCCUCAGAAUGAUUAAAUUGAAGACCACUUUCUUGGUGGCAAUCACAUCUGCUAAGCGGGUGGGUGAGCUAACAGCUUUCCGGGUAGAUAAACCAUACACUCAAUUCUAUCCUUACAAAGUGGUCAUGAGAUUGGGCCCGCGUUUUCACACUAAGAUUGUGAUGGACUUCCAUAUUAACCAAGAGGUUGUGUGACCUACCUUCUUUCAAAAUGCGGAGACACCAUUGGAAAUAGCGCUCCAUUCCUUGGAUGUGAGGAGAGCCCUCUUAUUUUAUUUACAAAGGACACAGAGUUACAGGAAAACAAGGAGACUCUUUAUAGGGUUCAAAGGAAAAUGCAAGGGCUGCCCAAUUUCUAGGCAGCGCCUGGCACAUUGGUUGGUGGAGACUAUUUGCCUAGCAGGGUGUCAGGGUGCCAGGGUGUUGCCCCACCAAAGACUGUGCGUGCGCACUCGACUAGGGCAUACGCAACAUCAACGGCCCACUUGUCUGGCAUUAAGAUGUCGGAUAUCUGCAUGGCGGCCACAUGGUCGUCACAACUGCCAUUCAUCACACUAUGCUUUGGAUUUGAGGAUGGUGAAAGACAUGGAUUUUGGGAGAAAUGUUCUAAAAAGGGUGUUAGCAUGAGCUAGGGUUUACUGCACCCACCUCCUUGAGGGAAAGCUGGCUAAUCACCCAUUCCUUAUGACCACAACGGAUCACGAUCCAGAUAUACAGGUUGCUUACCUGUAACUUAAGAUCUGGAAGUGAUCCGUUGUAGUCAUAAACCCCUCCCGACCAUCCCCGCUGCAGUACUAAAUGAAGGAAAGCAACAUCAAAGUUCAACUUGUGGAUUGUCACUAUUUUUCUGCGAGAAACUGGAAAAUGGACGCCACAUCCGCCUCUUUUAAUGACUUGGCACGGCAUGUGCAGGUGGGAGGGGGUGUUAUGAGGAGCUAAUCAAUCAGUCUGUGAGGUCCCUGCGCAGGCGUAGAACCCAUUCCUUAUGACUACAAUGGAUCACUUCCAGAUCUUAAGUUACAGGUAAGCAACCUGUAUUUCUCUAAAGUUUAAACAAAAUAACUAACUUUGACUGCUGCAACCCCAUUUGUUUAGCAGAUAUAUAGAAAUAAAUGGGGUUUAAGUUAGUCCUUAUUUAGGGAUGUGCCCAAACCGGUUCAGCGCCUCCUUGAGGAAGCACUGAACAUCCUUGAGGGAAGCACUGGUUCAGGCACCAGCAUUUGAACCGGUUUGGCGGGGUGGGGGUCAGUUCCUUUUAAAAGCAGGUAAGCAAGACUGUACCUGCUCCUCCACGGCCCUACCACUUUUCUGGGCAUGGUGCUUGAUGUUCAAAAGGCCAUGUGUGGCUGCAGUGCUGCUCCCAGCAGCCUACGCACAGUGCCAGCAUGUACAUAGCUGCCAUGCGUGUGCUAAUGCCACACACAGGCUGCUUGGAGCAGCGCUGCAGCUGCAUGCGACCUUUGGAACAGCGGGCAUUGUGCCCUGAAAAAUGGUGGGGCUGCGGAGGCACAGGUAUGGUCUUGCUUACUGUCUUUUAAAAGGAACUGAUCCUUGCCCUGCCCGUGGUUGCAUAAGCAGUUGGUGCACAUCUCUAUCCUUAUUAACUUGGUCUCAGUUAUUUCAGUGGUGCUUAGUAAUGACUGAUUAGUCAGGAUACUGUCGUCUUAUGCAGUAACUAUGUUGUCUUCGUGGUUUGGGUUUUUUUAGCCUACUUUCCAGUAGGCUUAUGAGAUCACCUGGCAUUCUCUGUGUGUGUGUCCAUGUGUCCCCCACCCCAACUUCGCAGCACCUGGACCAAUAUGAGCCAAAUCAGCUACAGUUGUAGGGACAUCUCCAGAGACGUGGUUUGUGAUGUCAUGCACAAGAUGUAACCCAUUCAAGAUGGCAGACGCGUAAACUUUUGAGGUUGGUAAGAGACUUUCAAGAAUACACAGAACCAGGUGAAGACUUUCCAGCUUCUCCACAGAGGAGAAAUACUUCAUUACAAGAAGACAAAGAUGACAGUGUGAUUUUACCAUUGGGUGCAGAUACGCUAACAUGUAAC